rnacentral:rRNA from 1 species
GACGAACGCUGGCGGCGUGCCUAAUACAUGCAAGUAGAACGCUGAAGCUUGGUGCUUGCACCGAGCGGAUGAGUUGCGAACGGGUGAGUAACGCGUAGGUAACCUGCCUGGUAGCGGGGGAUAACUAUUGGAAACGAUAGCUAAUACCGCAUAAUAGUAGAUGUUGCAUGACAUUUGCUUAAAAGGUGCAAUUGCAUCACUACCAGAUGGACCUGCGUUGUAUUAGCUAGUUGGUGAGGUAACGGCUCACCAAGGCAACGAUACAUAGCCGACCUGAGAGGGUGAUCGGCCACACUGGGACUGAGACACGGCCCAGACUCCUACGGGAGGCAGCAGUAGGGAAUCUUCGGCAAUGGACGGAAGUCUGACCGAGCAACGCCGCGUGAGUGAAGAAGGUUUUCGGAUCGGAAAGCUCUGUUGUAAGAGAAGAACGAGUGUGAGAGUGGAAAGUUCACACUGUGACGGUAUCUUACCAGAAAGGGACGGCUAACUACGUG